rnacentral:lncRNA from 1 species
UAAAUAUUAAAUUUUUUCAGGAUUGUCAACUUAUUUUAUUUUGUUUUAUUUUCUUCAAGCAACAACCGCUAAGGAACAGAAUUGUCAAUUUAUUAAUGAAAUAUGACGUGUGUUGAACAAGACAAGCUGGGUCAAGCAUUUGAGGAUGCUUUUGAGGUUCUGAGGCAACAUUCAACUGGAGAUCUUCAGUACUCGCCAGGUAAAGAUAAGU